rnacentral:tRNA from 1 species
GGAGGUGAGAGGGAUCCGGUGAUCCUCGCGGUCUUCAAAACCGUUGUGCCGCCUAACGGUGGCAGGUGGGUUCGACUCCCAUUCCCCUCCGCCA